rnacentral:lncRNA from 1 species
CCCAAAGAACAGGCAGCUAGAACCCACACCGGAGUAACUUUUGAACACCAACUUAACAAGCAAAAUAACAAUACAUAACUACACAAAAGUAUGCAACAAACAGUGCAAAAGACCUCCAAGCUAAAUAGCAGGUAACGAGAAUCUGGAUAUAUCGAUGCUGCACUUGGCACGCCACACGAUACCAUCCACUUGUAGAACCCGAAGACCCCAUCGCGCCUUCUCAACCCGGAUCUAUCGCUGCCGCCUAUGGCCUGCCAAACGAUACCAUCCCCACUCGUAACUCAGAACCAAGACUUCAUAACCCAACUAGAGAGAUCGCUUCACAAUCCAAACAUCUCUCGGAUACGGCUUGAACGCACUCUUUGACGCCCACUUUUGCAUCUAGAUAGAAGUCCAACAAAACCUCCACACAACCAAGCUUCGCCGCUCACAUCUGAAAACCAGAAUAAACAAUAACACACCAAAACGACGAAAGAUUCUUGCAACCACCAUAACCCGGAGAUAAUUUUGCAACUGAAUAUGUCGCUGCACUAACCACCGAUAGACUCCAAGAACCAACACCAUGAAACACGCAUGACAAUACCAUGAAACACGCAGGAGGAACCAACAGGUACACCACAGCUAAGAUAAUCUGCCUACCAGAAACUCCAUAAACAAAACCAUAACUAAGAGAAAUAGAAAAAGAUCCAGAAGCUGUCCACAUCGGAAUCGUCACCGAGCUGUCGCGAGACCACCAAUAAUAGAUGAGAGGAAGAAGCACAAACACCAACUGUUGCCGGUGCUGGUUCGCAGUGACAGACGAUCUCGAGAAACAAGGGCACACACCACCGUCUGAGAGAGAAGGGCGAGAAGCUUCCCAACCCAAAGAUAGGUAUGAGAAGAAGCUACGGUGGGAGCUCCGACGAAACUCAUCCACCGUCUUUCUCUUCACCCUGCCGCCAUGGAUCUGUAAGAUAUAUCCACAUCUAGUCCAACAACUAGAUCCGGAGGCUAUAUGUCUAGCCGGAUAUAUGAGCCCUCUCCGAAAGUAGAACUGAAGAGAAAAUCGCUUCGUUAACCAUAGCCGACCCCUCCUUACCCUCACCUAAACAAAAUCUCAUUUUUUCACCAGAUCUAACAUCUGAGAAGCGGAUCCACACCAAAUUCAAAUCCAGAGAAAAAGAUAUAUCGAUUCAUGAUGAGAGAAGCAAGGAGAGGCAAAACGAAAGAGGAAACUAGGGGUUCCGGCACCGGCGCUACUCGCCACCACCGGAAAAGCAAGGGUCGUAGAGGUUGUCUGCAAGGUGAAAAGAUGAGCAUAAUUGUUUAUGUUUCU